CCUGGCUCAGAUUGAACGCUGGCGGCAGGCCUAACACAUGCAAGUCGAGCGGUAGAGAGAAGCUUGCUUCUCUUGAGAGCGGCGGACGGGUGAGUAAUGCCUAGGAAUCUGCCUGGUAGUGGGGGAUAACGUUCGGAAACGGACGCUAAUACCGCAUACGUCCUACGGGAGAAAGCAGGGGACCUUCGGGCCUUGCGCUAUCAGAUGAGCCUAGGUCGGAUUAGCUAGUUGGUGGGGUAAUGGCUCACCAAGGCGACGAUCCGUAACUGGUCUGAGAGGAUGAUCAGUCACACUGGAACUGAGACACGGUCCAGACUCCUACGGGAGGCAGCAGUGGGGAAUAUUGGACAAUGGGCGAAAGCCUGAUCCAGCCAUGCCGCGUGUGUGAAGAAGGUCUUCGGGUUGAGGGGUACUUUAAGUUGGGAGGAAGGGUUGUAGA
rnacentral:rRNA from 1 species